rnacentral:rRNA from 1 species
GACGAACGCUGGCGGCGUGCUUAACACAUGCAAGUCGAACGGAAAGGCCCUGCUUUUGUGGGGUGCUCGAUUGGCGAACGGGUGAGUAACACGUGAGUAACCUGCCCUUGACUUUGGGAUAACUUCAGGAAACUGGGGCUAAUACUGGAUAGGAGCUCCUGCUGCAUGGUGGGGGUUGGAAAGUUUCGGCGGUUGGGGAUGGACUCGCGGCUUAUCAGCUUGUUGGUGGGGUAGUGGCUUACCAAGGGUUUGACGGGUAGCCGGCAUGAGAGGGUGACCGGCCACAUUGGGACUGCGAUACGGCCCAGACUCCUACGGGAGGCAGCAGUGGGGAAUAUUGCACAAUGGGCGGAAGCCUGAUGCAGCAACCCCGCGUGCGGGAUGCCGGCUUUCGGGUUGUAAACCGCUUUCGCAUGUGACGAAGCGUGAGUGACGGUAAUGGGUAAAGAAGCACCGGCUAACUACGUG